GCAAAACUUGAGGCGAUUCCCGAACCACAGGUGCCGCGAGGCUGUCGCGGAGCCCGGGACUGGCCCCCACAUCCCCGGGCGCGGCGCGGAGUGGUGCGGAGGGCGCGGACACGGAGAGAAAGAGGAAGUGUGAAGUGUGACGGCUGACGAGGAGGGUGGGAGGAGACGAGGGAGUGCUGCAACUCUGGAAAAACAAGUCAGCUCUUCUGUGGAGCUCGUCACGCAUUCACGGGCCUUUUGCUAUCAUUCUGCCUCAAAAUUGUCCGGAAUCCGCCCUCUCCUUCCCAUUGCACUGCUCCAGCCCUAGCCCAGACACCUUCCGCCCCGAGCUUCGCGGGAGUCUGUUCCCUGGGCUCGCCUCGCCCAUCCUCGGUGCUGCGGACUGGAUGAGUUACCGUCCGUUCGGCUGAAAAGCCCGGACAGCACCUCACCUUCGAGAUCCCGCUUCCUUCACACUGGGUCGCCCCACCAGCCGCCUGGGUUCCAGUUUAGCACUGCCGACGACUUGCUGUGCCUGGCAUGUCCUUGCUCCC
rnacentral:lncRNA from 1 species